rnacentral:lncRNA from 1 species
CACUCCUGGGGAACCUGAGGGACCUGAGGCGCUGGGAGUCCCUGUUGGGAGGCGGGGAAACUCCAGCUCUGGCUAGCAGCUCUGUACUGCUCUGCUUCUUAGCGGUCCCCUCCCACGCCCAGAGGAUUUCACUGGGCACCGGAGAGUCCGCUAAGGGGGAGUGGCACCUUUCCUGCAUCACCUCAAACCUGGACAGCUGAGACCACAAUCAAGCUAGCAUCGCGGGAAGGACAGACAGAAAGACAGUUAAGGCCUGCGCUGGAAGCAGAAACUGAGUUUUCCUGCCCUGCCGCGAGAAGACCCACGUCCUGCCCCCACCCCAGGAAAUUUGCAGUGACUUUGGAGCCCAGACUGAGGAAGCCGAGGUGGCGAAAGGAGAGACAAUACGGUCCCGAAGUACAAUUAAGGAGCCAGAGCUGCUCCUCUCUCCCCCGCCCUCCUUGCCAGACUGCGAGCUGUCUGGUCUCCAACCUCUGGGCGACUCGCGAACCUGGAGCCAGAAACUCAGCCCGAGGCGGAGGGCGCCAGAGGACUCCGCACCCAGAAAACCAGGAGGGAAGCUGCCUUCCAACCUGGGGGGCACCGUAACCAGCCCCGCUGAGAUGCAGCGAAUCCAAUGAAUGAAUGUGCACAUUCCGACGACGAAUUUUCCCGAAUUUUCUCAGCCUUUGGAAGGAGAGCCCAGGGUUUGGGACAUCUCAGACAGACAGUCAGACAGACAGGCAAACCGCAUCUCCUGAGGCAGACAGGCUCACAACAUGAGUGUGAGCCUGAAAUCAUAUACAGGUUCAACAUUCCCGAGGCCUCUUUGCCCGGCCUGGCGGGCGCCGAUCUCUCCUACCUUCACUCCUGCCAGGGCCUCAGGCAGAGACCCAUAGGACUCGGUCCCGCUGGC